UUAGAGUGGGCCAACGUUGUAUGGGAAAAUCCAGAUUUGAUCACAUCAGUCCGGAACAAAGCUUUUUCGAUGCUUUUUAUGGUCUGCAACAACUGUGCAAAAUUUGGACGCGAUUGGUUGUGUCCCCGCAUUCCGCAUUGCAUUUGAAAUUUGUAUGGGAUUUAGUAUGGGAAAACAUACUUUUUUGCAUUUUUCCCGUGGGAGGCUCAGAUUUGUCUAGAACUAUAUAACCAACGAUGUUAAAGUAUAGCCCAGGGGAUGCUGGUAAACUUUGCCAAAAAGAGUAAGGUAAUAGAGUAACUCUGAAAAAAGUUAUUAAUGUUCAAAGUUUGAUAUCUCCGCGCAACUGCUAAAAAGCAUUUUUUCUGCCAACACUGCUGGUGCUUCGAAGGAUCAAUUCAUCCUUGCUUUUUAUUCUGACGUUUCAAGGGGACUCACCUUCAUUCCAUCAACAAACAGCAAACAAAACUAAUGGGUCUGUCCUUGAGGAAUGGUUUCGGGAGAUUUUCGAUCACAGGGAAAAUUAUGGAAGUUUAUGAGAGUUUUCAUGUGAAAUACACGUACAUUAAAACAUAUUGUGCCUGUUUAACUAUAUUUGACUACCAAUGCUAAAUAGUACAGGUCAGAUGUGAUUAUCGAUAGACCGAUCCUGCCCUCUGUUUUUGAAGCGCACCAGCCUUAAUGCGUAGAAAAAGCGAGCCUGCGACAAGUUGCUUGAGGAGCUGUGACAACCGAGUUUGAGAAGCGCAGGACUAAUUUAUGUUGUGGAAGCUUGCUAGUAGGUUGUUAGCCUCUCUGGCCAAAUGUACGACUCGAGCUGUAAAAAUCUUCAGAUGUUAUAACGUGGAAAAAAGUAGAUUGCAAUACAAUUAAAUUUUGUUUUAUAA